AACUCGGGUUGUGUAUUCUCUCUGACAAGCAGCUAUGGGAUUAGCAAAAUAGUCCCGAUAUGUGUAGCUAUCUCCUUGGUCACCUCUGAAAACAUUCUUAAUUAACCCUGCCCUUUCCACCACUGAUAUGGUGUUAUUGUUCCGGACGAGCGCUGCUUUUUUAUUACACUGUCUUACGGAAGAAUGUCAAUAUACGUGGCUUUAACUUGCCCCUGAGCUAACUGGUUAGCCCGUUAGCAGGCUCGACUCGACGACAUAAUAGGCUACUGUGCUUCUUGGAACACGGUGUGCUCGUCGUGUCAGUUCAACCCAGCGCUAAUCGAGAAUAGUAUCGGUGAUUUUCAGAUAGUAUCGAUGGUCUACUCUAUCUUUAACGAUUGCCUUUGUUGUGUGAUCAUUUGCACUGACCGCGGGAUGGAGUGGCACUAGCUUAAUUUGCGAGCAGGCGAGCAAUUUAGCCAGUCCCCGGUGUCUUCGCAGCGUUAGCAGAGCACUGCUCUCAUUGUGCCGGCUAAAAAUACACUUUUUGUCCCAUGCUCAGUGCGCCUCCAAAAGUGGUAGGCUAGUCUACAUUGGACUUCUCUUCGGCUUUUCUUGUCACCUUGCUCUAAAUUUGGCCAUCUACAUGGUCACUACAGUGAAUGUAAGACGACUGGAAGAACGAGUCGGACCCCGAGGUUGUGAGCCCUGCUGGCCUGAUCUAACGUUAACGUUACAUCGUACCGGCUGGUGGGCUUCAGGUCUCAAGUGAACGAAAAGUCGGCUUUGGCUAAUCGGUGGCCGAAUAUCAUUUUUGCACCAAUGGCCUUAUACUGUAAUUAUUGGUAACACAACGAGCCUUGGUCCUGCCCAGGGUUGAAGGACCGAAACUUCGUGAAGGUCAGAGAAAAACGCUUUGGGUCUACUGUCUGAGAUUAGGGAGGCAGACUUCAUCUGUCCAGAGCUGAGCACCAUGUCGGAAGAUAACAACGCAGACAAGUUUAUCAAGGAGACAUCCAUUCUAGACGAGUAUAACAUAAACUGGACACAGAAGUUGGGAGCCGGCAUCAGUGGACCUGUCAGAGUUUGUAUGAAGAAGUCAUCUCAGGAGCGCCUGGCCCUAAAGAUCCUCAUUGAUCGCCCUAAGGCCAGGAAUGAGGUGCGUCUCCAUAUGAUGUGUGCCAACCAUCCAAACAUAGUGCAAAUCCUGGAGGUUUACGCCAAUAGUGUUCAGUUCCCGCAUGAGUCCAGCCCAAGAGCGAGACUCCUGAUUGUUAUGGAAAUGAUGGAGGGUGGCGAACUGUUCCACAGAAUCAGUCAGCACAGGCACUUUACUGAAAAGAUGGCCAGCCAGGUCACUAAACAAAUCAGUCAAGCCUUGGAACAUUGUCACUCCCUAAAUAUUGCACAUCGUGACCUGAAGCCAGAGAACCUGCUCUUUAAGGAUAACUCUCUGGAUGCACCUGUGAAGUUGUGUGACUUUGGCUUUGCCAAAAUUGAUCAAGGAGACUUAAUGACCCCUCAGUUCACUCCCUACUAUGUAGCACCUCAGGUACUUGAGGCUCAAAGACGACACCAGAAAGAAAAGUCUGGAAUUAUACCUACCUCACCCACUCCUUAUACCUAUAACAAAAGCUGUGACUUGUGGUCUCUCGGUGUGAUCAUCUACGUGAUGCUGUGUGGCUAUCCUCCGUUCUACUCCAAGCGCCACAGUCGCACCAUCCCGAAGGACAUGAGGAAGAAAAUUAUGACGGGCAGCUUUGACUUUCCUGAAGAUGAGUGGAGCCAGAUUUCGGAGAUGGCCAAGGACAUUGUACGCAAGCUGCUGAAGGUGAAGCCGGAGGAGAGGCUGACUAUUGAGGGAGUCUUGUCUCACCCUUGGCUCAACUGUACUGAGGCACUCGACAACGUGCUGCCCUCAGCCCAGAUGAUGAUGGACAAGGCGGUGGUUGCAGGUAUCCAGCAGGCCCAUGCGGAGCAGCUGGCCAACAUGAGAAUUCAGGAUCAUAACGUUGGCCUGAAGCCUCUAAACUCUGUCAACAACCCAAUCCUCAGGAAGCGAAAAAUGCUAGGCCCCAAGCCCAGUGACGGUUUCUUCAUUCACGACCCGGAGAAUGGAGGGGAAGACUCCAACGUAGCUCUGGAAAAAUUACGAGACGUCAUUGCACAGUGUAUACUACCACAAGCUGGAGAGAACGAGGAUGACAAGCUGAAUGAGGUGAUGUAUGAAGCCUGGAGGUUCAACAGAGACUGUAACCUCCUGAGAGAUGGCCUGCAGGGGCUUAGCUGGGACGUAUUACGAACUGGGUGUCUUUGACGACAUUCCGGGGAAAAAUCUCAUGCGGCGCACAGUUAGUGACCAUUUUCCAUCACCCAGCAGUGGUUGCUCCACCAAAGAGGGAAGAUCCUUCUCUGAUAAAGUCGACCGCUUGAAGUUGGCUGAAAUAGUGAAACAGGCCAUCGAAGAGAAGACAAAUCUCCAAGAAUCUAAUUAGCAAACGCUGUCUUUCUAUCUUCUUUUUAUAUUGUUUAUUAUGACCCUUUUUUAACCCAUAUAUGUAAAGAAGCUUUUUUUCAUUCACUAGCAAGACCUAUUGUACAGCUGUAGAUAUAUUUCAAAGAGAACUCAUUGGUACUAUAAUUUUUUUUUUUUUUUUUUAAUGGACACUUGCAACAAACAUUGCAAAAAACCUAUAUUUUCAUUUUUGCAAAAAAGAGAAAAGAGAAAAAUCAGUUGAAAAAUAAAUUUUCUGGGAGGGGAUUAUGUCCAAGGCAUCACUCGUUUUAUCCCAGUUAUUCAUUUUUAUUCUGUUUUCUUUUAACCAUCAUAGGACUUUUAUUUAUUUAAAAAAAAAGUUCCAUAAUUUUAUAUUUUACUUGUAGCCUGGCAGUGGACUCUAGUCGAGAGACGCUGUCUAAGAUGUGACUUUGUUUUUUUACACACUCUUGAUUCUCAGACUGCAUUAACAUUAUAUGAAUCUUUGUUUUUGUUUGAACUUUCCCCUGACCUUUUUGUUGUGUAGAGUUCAAGGCAGAGUGGAAAUUGAUGUAAAAAAAAAAAGUGUCAUGAAAUAGAGAAAUGCAGCCCCAAAUUCAUCUUGUCACAACCCCUUUUUUUAAAGCUGAUUUUUAAGCCAACUGAACAGUCAUGAAAAUUGGCUCAUUUAGAUCAAUGUGUUUUGACAAAAACAAAUCUUAAGUUCCACUUACUAUCUUUUUUUGUUGGAGCUUUUAACUGUCUUUCAGUCUUCUUUAGAAGAUGCUGUGUUUUCAGAUAGGGCUGAAAGCUCCAGUUGAGUUAAAAAUUCAUUGUCAAACUGUUUCUCAACUAGAUCAUGAAGGUUUCACAAACUGAGUUCAACUCAUACACAUGAAGUUCUUAUACUGCUUGUCCGCUCCUGGGGUUUGUGUCUGGCAAGUCAAAUUGAGUUAAUUAUUUUAUACAAAGGCAUUUUUAUACGUCCUACCGUAUCUGAGUCAGUCUUUGGUUAAAGUUGCUGAUCUGUGAUCAGGCGCAACAUGAGCUGCUUUGAUGUAGAGUUGUAUCUACUGGAAUUCAGACCAUAGUCAAUUUAUAUUUAUGUCCUUUUAAAGCAAAAGUGGUUGCUACUUAAACCGACGGACACAAAAACACUGGGCAUCUUUGGUGCAAUGUAGUCAAAAGAUCAGAAGAAGAAGGGGUUCAGCCUCCAUUAGCAGCAUCAGACUUGCAGUGAUAUUGAAUUUGCAAUAGGGCACUCAUUUACUAUUUACUACUAUUGACUUAUGUAUUCAUAGUGCAUGCAUGUACAUGGUAAAGAGAAAAAGAUGUAUCAAUUGUCAUUACAAUGGUCUGAAUACCAGCAAAUGCUCCUUCCCUUCGCUCAACCUCAUCCUUUAGUUGUUAAUGCGUCGCUGAUUAUCCGAGAUUUUUGUGUUGAGCCAACAAAACUUAGAUGGCUGAAAGUGCAAGUUCUCUUGUUGAUUGCCUGAUUAAAUCUGUAAUAAUGUUGUUUGUUUUGAAAAUCCUCAGAAGUUAAUGAAAUUCCCCUUUCGAUGAGGUCUUGGCUUUAAACAGAACAUAUUUUCAUGUCUCGAUUACUGCAUUAACCAUGUGUUUUUCUACCUUAAUGAAAAGAUAUAUAAUAUUCUAAGUAAUUAGCAAACAUUGGUGCAAUAUAUUGUUGCUGUCCAGUGAUGAACUUGUAUCUCCAAUUUUGAGAUAAACUAAAGGAUCAGGUGUUCCUUUGUUGGUUAAGAAACUUUUCUUACGCUUAAUAAACCAUUUAAAAAGUUAUUGUUUUAUCUGUGAAAUGCAUUGUUGCACAGAUAAAAACCUCAGCUGUUUUUCUGCGCUAACAUGAAUUGACAUUUUGGGACAGUGUAAUGUAAGCUGCACAUUUUCACACCAUUUGUAAAUGUCAUGAAGGAAAGAGUCUGUAUUAUUUAAGAUUGGCUUAAAAACUAAAAUGUGAGCAAAAGCACUCACUACUAACAGGAUUCUGAGAGAUCAUUUUGACGAUCUGGCUUGAUGGUUUGUCAGACAGUCUACCUUAAAAGCUUCACGAUAACCACAGCUUGUGUUUGAAAAGGCCAUUAAAAUUACAUGGCUAUUUUUACGCUCAAAUGUAAAAUGUGGGUGGCAUCUUCCUCCUUUACUGCUCAGUAAAAAUAAUUACAGAAUAGAGGGGAAACUCCGAAUCAUUUAAAUAGUGAUUGAAACUUAUCCUUUUUGCUGUGAUUUGCUUGUUUUCAUUCCACAAAUUGGUGUAUUGGUUUGGUUUGUUAAUGUUAAUUUAUUAUAGUUAUAUUUUUUUUGCGGAAAUAAUGUCCUAUUAAAAGGAAGAGUUUCCGUGCUGGUGUCUUAUAUUUAACGGGAAAUUUUGGGAGUGUUAUCAAUCUUCUCAUCUCCGCCGCGAAGCUAAUCGUGUGUGCGUGCUUUAAAUCUCCUCCCCCACCCACAAAUAACAGAAUAUUUAUCUUCUGCUACCUGAGUGAGCAUUACUGUUGAAGACUAGUGUAUUUAUUAGCAUCUACUGUAAAGUCAAGGCAUGUAAUAGUGAUACUUUGUUCUAACAGUGAAACCCCUGAGGGAAAAAUAGUCAUACUCAGACACCCGCUGCUGUUCAAUGGUCAGUCUGGCUCAGUGGUACUACAAAUCCCAGAGGGGCAGUUUGUGUAAAGAUGCUACCUCCCUCCCCUGCAUUGCUGCUGCAGGAGGCCCUCAGACUGACAUUCAGGCUAACGCAGCUUUAGACAUAUUUAAUAGCUUCCACCAGUCACUUCCACUCUCAUCUGCUCAAUAAAGUGAGACAGGAUUUCCUGUCUCACAUACAAGGAAACAUUUAUUGUUCCCUAAAUUGAUGCUGACUGAGGAUAAAUAGCAAACCUGUGUCCUUUUUUAAAAUACCAACUCAUUAAAAAAGACCCGAAAGGCACAAAAAGGGUUUAGUCAGCACUUACUACUCUUGAUAAAUACCAGUUGCUUCCAUUUCUUCUGCUGUAUAUGUACUUGUAAGGUAUGGAGAGAUGUGUUUUAUAUAUUUUGAGCCAUUCCUGUUUGUGUUAAAUCAGGAAGAAAUGUCAAGGAAAGGAAAUCAUUUUGAGGUUUGGAACCUUUUAUCUGCUUUUAGUGGUCUUUCAUUUUUCUCUGGCCUGGCAGUUAUGUAGCAUGUAACUGAAUAUCUCAUGAAAGACUUGCUGAAUUUUUGUCUACACAUCAUUUCUUUGCUCUUUCUGUCUUCUUUGGAACAUCGUAAACAGGCUGACUUUGAAAUGAAAUAAAGGAAUUCUUUGACUUUUGAA